rnacentral:lncRNA from 1 species
GGGAUCGACCUCGAACAUGACUUUGACCUCAGGCGUACAUCUAUCCGACUUCACGAUUUCAAUCCCGAGCUUGAGUCUGUCAACUAUUAAGCAUGAGCUGAUUUAUUCAUGUGGUUCAAUGUCCGGUCGGGUUCGCGAUGUUUACUGGGAAUCUCUUGUUAGUUUGCUGAAGUUGUUCUUUCCAAUUUUGCUUUACCGACUUGUCUGAGCUUUUCCUCCG